CACACACUGACACAAUCACACACUGACACAGUCACACACACUGUCACACACACUGACACAAUCACACACACUGGCACUGUCACACACACACUGACACAAUCACACACACGGACACACACUGACACAAUCACACACACUGACACAGUCACACACUGACACAAGCUCUGACACAGUCACAUACACUCUCACACACUGACACAAUCACA